UGGGGAUUCGAAUAUGAAGAAUGAUUAAUUGCUUAAGCGUUCACGUUAGGAUCACACAAUCAAUUACCUCCUGAAUGUAUCAUCUCUAUUUUCAAUAUCUGAAUAUACAAGGAAACUAUAAUCUCCUCCUUCACCUUAUCGGUCUCUUCCUUACAGCAAUUCAGUCAUAUCAAUAACUGCUAUUUCUACCAAUAUAUUCACCUUCAUAAUCUCCAACUGUAAUACUAUGCCCUCACAGCUUUCAACACACAAUUACCCUCAUUCCAAUCACUGGAAUUCUUCAUACAGAAUUGCUAUUCACAUUACGGUAUUUCACACAAAUACAGACUCAUUCUCUCUGCUGAACUACAAUCAGAUUUCAGCAUUCAAUCUUUCUUCUUCUCAAAUAAUACCAAUCACAUUUCUAUUCCAUAAUUCACUUCACAAUAUUCAGAAACUCUCAAUCUUCUUAUUCAAAGAAAAUAACAAACAAAAGAAAAGAGGUAGCACUAAGCUUAUCCUAGCUCAUAACUAUCACAGCGAUGGCCCUCGGCUCAUGACUAUCAUAGUCUGAUACCUUAAUUAACUUCUACAACUCCUAUAUACUUUCCCCUGAUUCUCCAAAUUCUAACCGUAACUCUAUAAUUAACCGCUUUUGAGAACUAAAUCACUCAUCCGUCUUCUUAAAUUUCCUAUUAUAUAGACUAUUAAUAUAUUUUGCCAAUAUCUUUCAAAAAUAAAUUAAUAUCUAUUCUACAUAGCCGCAUUCCUAUGUGUGCAGCGUCCUCGCAAACAUUCAAUUGAUACCUUUUUAAAAAUUAUCUAACAAAACUCCACAAAGUUACUAGUUCCUCUAGCCCACCUAAUUAAUCAUUUGCUGCAUUAUCUAAUGUAGGUUCGACCAAAUCUGGUUCCAAUUGCACAUCUUCUUCUUCUUCCUCCAAUCCAUCGAUUCCUUCCUCAAUUGGUUUGAUAGAUCUUCAUUAUACUUACCCAGUAUACGGACUUGAACAU
rnacentral:lncRNA from 1 species